GAGAGUUUGAUCCUGGCUCAGGACGAACGCUGGCGGCGCGCCUAACACAUGCAAGUCGAACGAGCGAGAGAGAGCUUGCUUUCUCGAGCGAGUGGCGAACGGGUGAGUAACGCGUGAGGAACCUGCCUCAAAGAGGGGGACAACAGUUGGAAACGACUGCUAAUACCGCAUAAGCCCACGGCUCGGCAUCGAGCAGAGGGAAAAGGAGCAAUCCGCUUUGAGAUGGCCUCGCGUCCGAUUAGCUAGUUGGUGAGGUAACGGCCCACCAAGGCAACGAUCGGUAGCCGGACUGAGAGGUUGAACGGCCACAUUGGGACUGAGACACGGCCCAGACUCCUACGGGAGGCAGCAGUGGGGAAUAUUGCACAAUGGGGGAAACCCUGAUGCAGCGACGCCGCGUGGAGGAAGAAGGUCUUCGGAUUGUAAACUCCUGUUGUUGGGGAAGAUAAUGACGGUACCCAACAAGGAAGUGACGGCUAACUACGUGCCAGCAGCCGCGGUAAAACGUAGGUCACAAGCGUUGUCCGGAAUUACUGGGUGUAAAGGGAGCGCAGGCGGGAAGACAAGUUGGAAGUGAAAUCUAUGGGCUCAACCCAUAAACUGCUUUCAAAACUGUUUUUCUUGAGUAGUGCAGAGGUAGGCGGAAUUCCCGGUGUAGCGGUGGAAUGCGUAGAUAUCGGGAGGAACACCAGUGGCGAAGGCGGCCUACUGGGCACCAACUGACGCUGAGGCUCGAAAGUGUGGGUAGCAAACAGGAUUAGAUACCCUGGUAGUCCACACCGUAAACGAUGAUUACUAGGUGUUGGAGGAUUGACCCCUUCAGUGCCGCAGUUAACACAAUAAGUAAUCCACCUGGGGAGUACGACCGCAAGGUUGAAACUCAAAGGAAUUGACGGGGGCCCGCACAAGCAGUGGAGUAUGUGGUUUAAUUCGACGCAACGCGAAGAACCUUACCAAGUCUUGACAUCCCUUGACAGGCAUAGAAAUAUGUUUUCUCUUCGGAGCAAGGAGACAGGUGGUGCAUGGUUGUCGUCAGCUCGUGUCGUGAGAUGUUGGGUUAAGUCCCGCAACGAGCGCAACCCUUAUGGUCAGUUACUACGCAAGAGGACUCUGGCCAGACUGCCGUUGACAAAACGGAGGAAG
rnacentral:rRNA from 1 species